AUUGAACGCUGGCGGCAUGCCUUACACAUGCAAGUCGAACGGCAGCACGGGAGCAAUCCUGGUGGCGAGUGGCGAACGGGUGAGUAAUAUAUCGGAACGUGCCCAGUCGUGGGGAUAACGUAGCGAAAGCUACGCUAAUACCGCAUACGAUCUAUGGAUGAAAGCGGGGGAUCGCAAGACCUCGCGCGAUUGGAGCGGCCGAUAUCAGAUUAGGUAGUUGGUGAGGUAAAGGCUCACCAAGCCGACGAUCUGUAGCUGGUCUGAGAGGACGACCAGCCACACUGGGACUGAGACACGGCCCAGACUCCUACGGGAGGCAGCAGUGGGGAAUUUUCCGCAAUGGGCGAAAGCCUGACGGAGCAACGCCGCGUGAGGGAGGAAGGUCUUUGGAUUGUAAACCUCUUUCUCAAGGAAGAAGUUCUGACGGUACUUGAGGAAUCAGCCUCGGCUAACUCCGUGCCAGCAGCCGCGGUAAAGUG
rnacentral:rRNA from 1 species